AGUAUGCAAUGCAGUCACACUUGUGCAGUCCUCCUGAAUCCUGUGAUUUGCACAGACCACAUUACAAAAAGAGUGAUGUGUGAAAGUGGAAAAGAACGACUGACAACACCUUAGUUGCACACAGGGAUGCAUAAUGAUGCACAUCAUGCUACUACAUAGCUACAUGUACCCUAAGGAAGGUGUCAGAAAGGCAUUUGAACAGUAGUGCCUUUUAUUCUGGAAAACAGCAAUAAUGGCAUGUGGUCAAGAUACAGAUGCGGGAAUUUCUACACCCGUCAGAACACCGAUGCCGGAAUCCCGAACAGGUCAGGACCCCGACAAUGGAAUCCCUACAGUCGGAAUCCAGAAGCUGCUCUUCUGCAUCUCUCAAAAUCAUCCUCCUUAUCAGAUAGUCACUGCGCAUGCACUGGCCUAUGCAGUGCAUGUUGCAGAAGAUCCGGAGCUCCAUGGACAGC